rnacentral:lncRNA from 1 species
CAAAGUAUCUGUUGCCCCAUUCAUUUGCAGAUUUUAGAAACGUUAACUCAGAUAAUGUUUUCUAUCAUUUUCUGGACACCUCGCGGGUCCCAGGGAGAGAAAGCCGGAAAAGAGAAUGCAGCCUAUAGAAGUGGGAAGAGCACUGGACUUGAAGUCAGAGGACCAUCAUCUCAAGUUAUUUCUGCUCCAUAGGACUCUGUUUCUGUGAAGCGCUCUUUAUGGGAACUGAGUCAUUGAUAGUGGCUUCUAGAAGCUUCCUUGGAGAUGACAGCAAGUUGAUCAUUGCACUUAGCCUGCCUAGUGUUAAAAUUUACUUUGAUUUAUUAGGCAUAUCUGCUUACUAGCCAACAAAGUUCAUAAAGUGAUGUGGGCUGGAUAUAAAAACUAUCAUGUUAAUAGCAUUGUGGAGUUUUAUUUU